rnacentral:rRNA from 1 species
CAGCAGCCACGGUAAUACGUAGGUGGCGAGCGUUGUCCGGAAUCAUUGGGCGUAAAGGGAGCGCAGGCGGACAUAUAAGUCCAUCUUAAAAGUGCGGGGCUCAACCCCGUGAGGGGAUGGAAACUGUAUGCCUUGAGUGCAGGAGAGGAAAGCGGAAUUCCCAGUGUAGCGGUGAAAUGCGUAGAUAUUGGGAGGAACACCAGUGGCGAAGGCGGCUUUCUGGACUGUAACUGACGCUGAGGCUCGAAAGCCAGGGGAGCGAACGGGAUUAGAUACCCGUGUAGUCCCUGUCUCUUAUACA